rnacentral:rRNA from 1 species
UACGGAGGGUGCAAGCGUUAUCCGGAUUCACUGGGCUUAAAGGGUGCGUAGGUGGGUUGGUAAGUCAGUGGUGAAAUCUCCGGGCUUAACCUGGGAAUUGCAUUCGAGACUGCAUAGCUAGGGUGCGGAAGAGGGAAGCGGAAUUUCCGGUGUAGCGGUGAAAUGCGUAGAUAUCGGAAGGAACACCAGUGGCGAAAGCGGCUUCCUGGUCCAGCACCGACGUUCAGGCACGAAAGCGUGGGGAGCAAACAGG